AUUGAGCGCUGGCGGCAGGCCUAACACAUGCAAGUCGAGCGGAUGAAGGGAGCUUGCUCCUGGAUUCAGCGGCGGACGGGUGAGUAAUGCCUAGGAAUCUGCCUGGUAGUGGGGGAUAACGUCCGGAAACGGGCGCUAAUGCCGCAUACGUCCUGAGGGAGAAAGUGGGGGAUCUUCGGACCUCACGCUAUCAGAUGAGCCUAGGUCGGAUUAGCUAGUUGGUGGGGUAAAGGCCUACCAAGGCGACGAUCCGUAACUGGUCUGAGAGGAUGAUCAGUCACACUGGAACUGAGACACGGUCCAGACUCCUACGGGAGGCAGCAGUGGGGAAUAUUGGACAAUGGGCGAAAGCCUGAUCCAGCCAUGCCGCGUGUGUGAAGAAGGUCUUCGGAUUGUAAAGCACUUUAAGUUGGGAGGAAGGGCAGUAAGUUAAUACCUUGCUGUUUUGACGUUACCAACAGAAUAAGCACCGGCUAACUUCGUG
rnacentral:rRNA from 1 species